GAUGUUGUUCUAGAGAGCACUUUUAGGACUGCAUACAACGUGUAGUAUUUUCUGAUGACUCCACUUCACGAGGUAGAAUUUUUUAAGAUUUUCACUCAGUCUUUUUAAACCAAAGCCAUUUGCAUCACCUUGGUUUGAGCAACAUUCAUCAGUUGAUUGCAGUUGUAAACCUCUGAAACAGUAGAAUCCAAAGCUGCCAACCCACCAACUGUAAAUAAACCACGUUCCACAUCACGUGACAUGCACCCCACAAACCUAUAAUCAACGAUCCUCCUAAUCUCAUGCUGAUUUAGCUUUGGGACUUGUAAGCUCAUGAACUAGUCAAAGAUUUCUCACAUGAUACCCUUCACUGCAUUUUCAAAUUUGGUCCAACCCACUAUCCAACAAAACUAUAUAUUAAUAUAUAUAUCAUCAACCUAACUAGUAUGUUACACAUACACGUAAUCAAUACUUUAUUAUAAUAUAUUUAAUCCAUAUAUGUAAAUAUAUGCACACUCUUAUCAUUGUAAGAAGCAUAUAUAGAGCAAGUGAAAGACAUCCUCCAAGUCAGAAAAGACCAUGAAUUCCUUAUGCAGUUCAAUGAUUGCUGCUAUCUUUGCCAUGACAUUGAUCCUUUCAUAUGGGGUGAUUAUGUCCCAAGCUAGGGUUCUUCCUUCUUCAUCCUUAGUUUCAAAAAUGUCACAAACUUCCAACUCUCUUUCAUAUUCAAAUUUUCAAAGAGAAGAGCAAAAAUCAUCUCAGAAGCCUGUGGCAGCAGCUAGCCUUACAAAAAAACCACCUAGAAAACCAAAUCCAACUGUUCGUGAGGUAGCUGCUAACCUCAGAAGGAUACCACCCAGCAGACCAAAUCCUACACAGAACAAGUUAAAGCCAAGGAUAAGAGGCUAAGCAGAGGAACUGAUGCAAUGGAUUGAAGCUAUACAUGAAGAUUCAAGCAGUGGCAUGAACUCUGUUGCUCUAGUUUUGUUUUUGUUUCACUUUCUUUUUAGGUUUUUACUGUUUCCCAGAUUCAAAUUCUUAGGUUUAUUAGUGAGAAUUUGGUAUAGUUCAUAUCACGACUUCAGAUUUUUCUUUGCUUUUAUCUUACCUUUAAUGCUUUAGAUUGUAGAGAAUAUAGCAGCUUAUGAAUGUAAAGGAGAAAAAUAAUAGCCAUUUAAAAUUGUUAUGGGCAGUACUAGAUUCAAAACUGUUUUAUUUAUUUUAGUUGAGAUUUUAGAAAAGAGAUUAGUUUGCAUUGUUAGCUGUUGUAAACUUGUAAGUAGCUUCUUCGUGUUAUUCUCAGUAUAACGUUUUUGGAUUUGAUUCUUCUA